AGCAUGUGGUUUAAUUCGAAGCAACGCGAAGAACCUUACCAGGUCUUGACAUCCCUGACAACCCGAGAGAUCGGGCGUUCCCCUUCGGGGGACAGGUGACAGGUGGUGCAUGGUUGUCGUCAGCUCGUGUCGUGAGAUGUUGGGUUAAGUCCCGCAACGAGCGCAACCCUCGACCUUAGUUGCCAGCAUUCAGUUGGGCACUCUAAGGUGACUGCCGGCUAAAAGUCGGAGGAAGGUGGGAUGACGUCAAAUCAUCAUGCCCCUUAUGACCUGGGCUACACACGUGCUACAAUGGCCGGUACAGACGGACGCAAAGCCGCGAGGUGGAGCAAAUCCUAAAAAGCCGGUACUCAGUUCGGAUUGCAGGCUGCAAUUCGACUCCAUGAAGUUGGAAUCGCUAGUAAUCGCGGAUCAGCAUGCCGCGGUGAAUACGUUCCCGGGCCUU
rnacentral:rRNA from 1 species